rnacentral:rRNA from 1 species
CCUACGGGCGGCAGCAGUAAGGAAUAUUGGUCAAUGGGCGGAAGCCUGAACCAGCCAUCCCGCGUGCAGGAUGACUGCCCUAUGGGUUGUAAACUGCUUUUAUCUGGGAAUAAACCACUCUAUUUAUGGGGUGUUGAAGGUACCAGAAGAAUAAGCACCGGCUAACUCCGUGCCAGCAGCCGCGGUAAUACGGAGGGUGCAAGCGUUAUCCGGAAUCACUGGGUUUAAAGGGUGCGUAGGCGGCCUAAUAAGUCAGAGGUGAAAGGCUACAGCUUAACUGUGGAAUUGCCUUUGAUACUGUUAGGCUUGAAUAAGGAUGAGGUUGGCGGAAUGUGGCAUGUAGCGGUGAAAUGCAUAGAUAUGCCAUAGAACACCAAUUGCGAAGGCAGCUAACUGGGCCUUUAUUGACGCUGAGGCACGAAAGCGUGGGGAUCAAACAGGAUUAGAUACCCUAGUAGUC